rnacentral:rRNA from 1 species
AUGGGCGAACAGAAAGAAGCAGCGGUGCCGAGCGUGGCCUAUGAGGGAGGAGGCAGCGGCGGCAGUGGAUCGAGAUCGACCUCAUGCAAAGGAAUCUUUAAAAAGAUGAAGUCAAUUGUUGCUUAUUUUGGAACUCCACCAUCUAAUGAAUUUCAAGCUCCUAUUCAUGUUCUUGUUCCUGAACCUGAUGCAAACAUUUUAUCCACUGAAGCCUCAGAUGCAAACAUUGUAGAAGAUGUAGUUCCUGAACCUGAAGUGUAUAAUGAGCGCUCUCAUGAUAACACUUUGCAAACUUCUAUUCUAGGAUUUAGUCACUUCGUUUUGUAUUAG